CUCUCCUUUGAGCUGCUCAAGCUGAUCACGGAUGGCCAGGGAAGGUUUCUCAUAGCUCUAUGCAUGAUCAAUGAUGUUAAGUACACAAUAGUGAACAUAUAUUGCCCCAACACACAACAAAGAAAUUUCCUCCACAAAGUCCUCUCAAAACUCGAACCCAUCAAAACUGAAUACACAAUGGUCUGCGGAGACUUAAACCACAUUUUAGACCAUACCUUAGACACGUCAUUGCUCA